AAACCCAUUGUUGAAUCCUACUCGGGUGAUCAAUAAGGCCCAUGGCCUAGGUUGGUGACUUCCAUUGCACAUGCUCAUCUAAGAUCGACCCAUGUGAUUGAGCCUACGUCAUAAGGGUGUUCAUCUAAGAUUAGCACAAGUAAUCGAGCCUAUGUCAUAAUUUGUGGCAGCGAGGGUUUUGUGUUGGCGCGGCUCCUAU
rnacentral:snRNA from 10 species